GGGGUCACGCCCCGGGUGCGUCGCAGCCCCGGAACCAGGCGCCCGCCGGAGGAACCAACCAAACUCUUUCUGUAGUCCCCUCGCGGACGUAUUUCUUACAGCUCUGAGCAAAAAUUCAAAAUGAAUCAAAACUUUCAACAACGGAUCUCUUGGUUCUGGCAUCGAUGAAGAACGCAGCGAAAUGCGAUAAGUAAUGUGAAUUGCAGAAUUCAGUGAAUCAUCGAAUCUUUGAACGCACAUUGCGCCCGCCAGUAUUCUGGCGGGCAUGCCUGUCCGAGCGUCAUUUCAACCCUCGAACCCCUCCGGGGGAUCGGCGUUGGGGAUCGGGACCCCUCACACGGGUGCCGGCCCCUAAAUACAGUGGCGGUCUCGCCGCAGCCUCUCCUGCGCAGUAGUUUGCACAACUCGCACCGGGAGCGCGGCGCGUCCACGUCCGUAAAACACCCAACUUUCUGAAAUGUUGACCUCGGAUCAGGUAGGAAUACCCGCUGAACUUAAGCAUAUCAAUAAGCGGAGGAA
rnacentral:sRNA from 1 species